UCUGUGUCUAGUCAGCAUGGAAUAACAAGGAUCUGAUUUACUCUCCCACCUGAAACAACUAAAAAACUGAGCAAAAUGUAGGAGACCAGAGCAUUCAAGAUACUGACACUAGGCCACCAAGGACAGUGAUCUCUGAGAGAUGGGAAACAAAUGAGAAGAAGCAUUUUUCCUCUAAUGCUUGAAUUCAAAUUUCUUGACACGGAGUUUCUUCAGUGCAGAGCCAGCACCAUCAAAGUCAUUUGCGACAAGUUUCCACAGGGAUUGGGCAAGAGGACACUUGAGUAAUGCUACCCUCUAAGAUAUGCGAAGUAUUCCUUCAUACCAACUCUCACCCAGCAUCAGAGGAUGCUAUUCAUCCACCUCAAAGCAAUUCCUGGAAAGGAGGGACUUGGCCUUAAGUUGGCAAAGACGUUUACCCAGGUCGCCCUGGAAGAGUGCAUGAUAUUCGUCGUCCUAAAAAGUACGGAAAUAAAGCAGGCUUGUCUUUUCC